UUGGGGUGAGUAAAAGAUAAGUUGGGGAGAACGAAAAUGAGAAUCAGUAGGUGCCAUAACUCUUGAAUAACCGAGCAAGCAUUGAAAAAAAAAUUAGAAAAGAGAAACAUCUGUUUUGUGAAUACGAUGUGAAAAAAAAAAGAAAAUGAAAAUAAAUGCUUGCUUGGAAGAAAAAUAGUGAAAAACAAAAUUGAGUUGUG
rnacentral:lncRNA from 1 species